UAUUUUUAUUGUUAUUGUGUAUCUUUGUUAUUUGAUAUUCAGCUGUUGUUGCAACGAUGAUGAUUUCUUAUGCCAUUGGUCAUUAUUGUCUUCGAAGAGACUCCAAUGUCCUACAUUUCAUCUCAGAUUCUUAGCGGGAUGACCACCCCCGAGGGGAAGGAGGGCGCGGGCCCCAACGGGCAGCCGCCGCAGUCGUGGGUGCAGUUCGAGGAGGAGGACGGGAACCAGCAGGCGCCGCCGUCCAGGGGCGACAGCACGCCCGCCGUCAUCGACGCGCAGGCCGUCCAGGUGAGCCUGGAGAACCACAACACAGACAAAAAUGUGUCAAGAACAGUCUCAGAACCAGUUAAUGGAGUGCGUAAAACUUCAGUUACUUCACCAACAACGCCCUCCAGUAUCACCUCAGAUACACGAGUUACAAUGUCACAACUCAGCCCAGCACAACUCCAUAAUGUCCCUCUACAUGACCCUUCAGCACGGCCACCUGCCAAUGCUCAGCCUGUGAUUAGACAAGGAUUCUCAAAUGGGGAUGUAAUUGUAACGUUAUUACCCCAGAACACUUCAUUGCCAUGGGUUACUCCAGCACAGUUCAGGCCAGAACUUGUUCCUGAAGAGCUGAUGGCUCAAGGCCUCACACUUACAGUUGAAGACUAUGUUCACAUAAUGUCUCAGCUGGUCAAUGACUACCGUUUCACCUUGUAUAAUGUGUGCUACAAGCGUAUCCUCAUGGCCUGGAUCAUCUUGGGUUUUGUUAUCCUUUUGGGUAUCCUCUUCUCAGGCCUGACUCAAUUAAAAUUAUUUGGUGCUGGAAUUGGCUGGCUGAUGGUUAACGCAGCUGCGAUAUUUUUCUGUAUGUGGGUGAAGAUCCAGCUGAACAAAUCAUUAGAACGUUGCAUUGCUGGAAUCAACCUCCAGCUUCUGAGACAUAAGAUUCUAUUAGGUCUGGAUGACCGAGGGAAACUCUCUUGUCACAAGGUCAAUCUCUGCUUCAUCUAUUUUGAUACUCAUGAUUGUGUGGCCAAGUUGCAAGAGAUUAUUGAGCAAGAGGAGCGAGCUGGACGCACUGUGAAUAGCGAGGAGGCCAAAAUGUCCCCUCUUCACCAGCGCAUGGAUAUUGAUGACUCUGACAUUAUCAUCACAGGAGCAACUAACACCCGCAUCUCAAGGCAACAAGACAGAGCACGUAUUCUACUAGCGCGAUAUAGUCAACGUUGGGUGAAGGGAGUAGCUCGAGGGUCUCUGUCAAUAUCAACUGAUGCAAGUGACUCCACUAGUCCUCCUUCAUUACCUCCUCGCCACAGUUCCUCAAAACAGUGCCUGUGCCAGUAUAUUGAAGACCACCUCCACUACAAGCCACAAGGUUGCUUUGCUCUGUGUGAUAUGUGGCAGCAGGGGAGCAGUAGCGCUCUCCAGACUGGACCUCAAACGGGAACUAACCUUGCCUGAAGAGGCCAGAAGUUUUGUCAGCAGUUGUGAAUAUCUUCUACUUUCAUUAUUGGGGAAUGUCUGUGGUGUGUGCAGUUGGCUGACGUCAUGCCAUCAUAUAAUGCUGCUUGAUAUAUAUAUAACAGAAAUUAUAGUAAAAAUAAGAGGUGUGUCAAGUAUUAUUUUAAUUAUUAUUAUUAUUAUUAUUAUUAUUAUUAUUAUUAUUAUUAUCAUCACUAUCAAUAACAAAUAUUGUAUAAUGACCAUACUGAAUAUCUAUCAUGUGAGGAGAAUACAGGGGUAAAAAUUGGUUUUCUAAUAAAAAAGAAGGGGGGUGAUAACAAUUUUUUAUUGAAGAGUGAAGAGAGAAAAAAUAAUUACAUUUAUAUUGCAUUUUGAUAAAUUUACAUAUUAAAAGUAUAUAAAAAAACUGCCAAGGAGAAACAUGAAAUUUUAUACAUAGCUUAGUUUGGUGCCCUGUAUUAUGUCAAGAACUAAUAAACAAGUUGAAA
rnacentral:misc_RNA from 1 species